UCAUGAUAACUCCACGAAUCGCAUGGCCUCAGCGCCGGCGAUGUUUCAUUCAAAUUUCUGCCCUAUCAACUUUCGACGGUAAGGUAUUGGCUUACCGUGGUGGUAACGGGUGACGGAGGAUUAGGGUUCGAUUCCGGAGAGGGAGCCUGAGAAACGGCUACCACAUCCAAGGAAGGCAGCAGGCGCGCAAAUUACCCAAUCUUGACACAAGGAGGUAGUGACAAUAAAUAACAAUACCGGGGUUUUUCAACUCUGGUAAUUGGAAUGAGUACAAUCUAAACCCCUUAACGAGGAUCAAUUGGAGGGCAAGUCUGGUGCCAGCAGCCGCGGUAAUUCCAGCUCCAAUAGCGUAUAUUUAAGUUGUUGCAGUUAAAAAGCUCGUAGUUGGAUUUCGGGCGGGCCCGGCCGGUCCGCCAUUCGGUGUGCACUGACCGGGCCCGUCUUGUUGCCGGGGACGAGCUCCUGGGCUUAACUGUCCGGGACUCGGAGUCGGCGAGGUUACUUUGAGUAAAUUAGAGUGUUCAAAGCAGGCCUACGCUCUGAAUACAUUAGCAUGGAAUAACACGAUAGGAUCUCUGGCCUAU
rnacentral:rRNA from 1 species